ACUGCUCAGUAACACGUGGACAACCUACCCUGAGGAGGGGGAUAACCCCGGGAAACUGGGGAUAAUACCCCAUAGACUAUGGAUGCUGGAAUGCUCUGUAGUUAAAAGGCCCGCCGCCUCAGGAUGGGUCUGCGGCCGAUUAGGUUGUUGUUGGGGUAACGGCCCAACAAGCCUGUAAUCGGUACGGGUUGUGGGAGCAGGAGCCCGGAGAUGGAUUCUGAGACACGAAUCCAGGCCCUACGGGGCGCAGCAGGCGCGAAAACUUUACAAUGCGAGCAAUCGUGAUAAGGGAACUCCGAGUGCCCGUAAAAUCGGGCUGUCCGCCAGUGUAAAUAACUGGUGAAGAAAGGGCCGGGCAAGACCGGUGCCAGCCGCCGCGGUAAUACCGGCGGCUCGAGUGGUGGCCACUAUUACUGGGCUUAAAGCGUUCGUAGCUGGUCUGUUAAGUCUCUGGGGAAAUCUUCCGGCUUAACCGGAAGGCGUCUCAGGGAUACUGACAGACUAGGGACCGGAAGAGGUGAGAGGUACUCCAGGGGUAGGAGUGAAAUCCUGUAAUCCUUGGGGGACCACCUGUGGCGAAGGCGUCUCACCAGGACGGCUCCGACAGUGAGGAACGAAAGCUGGGGGAGCAAACCGGAUUAGAUACCCGGGUAGUCCCAGCUGUAAACGAUGCGCGUUAGGUGUAUCGGUGACCACGAGUCACCGAGGUGCCGAAGAGAAAUCGUGAAACGCGCCGCCUGGGAAGUACGGUCGCAAGGCUGAAACUUAAAGGAAUUGGCGGGGGAGCAC
rnacentral:rRNA from 1 species